GAGAAAGAGCCAACAGCUGAACCCUGCUGAGAUCAGAGCCAUUAUCCAAGGUGAUAACAGAGAGAAGAGAGCCCCUUCCUGUGAAUGAGAUCGCCAUAUCAAGUCUAGAAGUGCAUGAGAGGUAAAGGAGAGCCAGCAGAUGAAAGUGGUGUUCUCAGAGCAGCUCAGCAAGCUGCAGACCAAACAGCAUCAGGACACCGAGCUGCUGGAGGAGAUCAGGUCCUUCAGUAAGCAGCGUGCCGCUAUAGAGAGAGAAUAUGGUCAGGCUCUUCAGAGGUUAGCUAUCCAGUACCAAAAGAAAGACUGGCAGAGAGGAAAUACAGAUGCUAUCACUUCUGGGAGUGUGUUUAGUGUGUGGCGGUCUGUGGUCGAUGCUACAGCUCAGACUGCCGCAUCACGACUUUUUGCUGCAGAAGAAUACCGCCGGCUGAUUGGACAGGUCUCCAGAAGUCUCCACAAUGCAAAAGAUGUCCGGACUAAGAGAGGCCUGGAACAGCUCCAGAGAGUGCAGGCUGAAGUGGUGGAUGCUCUACGGGAACUUCACAGGGUCAAAAAGUGUUACUACGACUUUAGUCACAUUGCCAAUGUGGCCCGUGAGAAAACUGCAGAUGCGCAGACCAGAGCCAGAAAGAGUGAACAUGGAAUUUUUCACUUCAAAACAGGACUACAUAAAAUAACUACUAAGCUCACUGCCAGACUCAAAGAGUGUGAAGACCGUUUGGCUGAAGUUCGUAAUGAGUAUCUGCUGACACUAGCAGCAGUCAGCGCUCAUCGACAGCACUACUACACAAAUGACUUACCAUUUAUCAUGCAGCAAAUGGAUGGUGAUAUUUAUGAGGAUCUGAAAUGCCAUUUCACCUUGCUGUGUGGGACCGAAAUGGAUUGCUGUCUGACUACACACAAACAGUACAGCAGAGUGUGGGACAGUGUUGCAAAGGUGACCAGAGAGAGAAAUGUUCAGCAGUUUCUACAAGAAUCAGUUUCUUUCAGCAAAACUCCUGAAUUUACCUUCCAGCCUGCUCCGCGUGACAAGGUGUCUACGCUGCAGGAAGUUUGUGCUUCAGAAGAGGAGGGCUGCCUGGUGAAGGAGGCUAAGAAAUGGGCUGCCAAGGUGGCUAAAGAUCACAAGAUUGUUGUCCAUGGAGAGAGGGCUCUACAGAUGUUGGAGAGCCGGCUGAAGCUUUUGUCCGGGGAGACGGCGCUCAGUGUGGAGCAGAAGAUGGCAGAGGUUCAGGACGGCGUCAGGAAGGCCAAGCUGAGCAGGGCGAAGGCAGAGGCCCGCCUGGCACUGCUGUCAGAGAGCACGCCAGGAGCAGAACAAUGGCUUCACAACACCAUGAACCAGGUGGAGGAGGAGCUGGAGAGAGAGCGACAUCUCAGCGAGCAGAGGAAGUCUACUGAAGACUUUUCAGAGGAUGAGUUUGAGCUGACUGACUUUGAAGACUGUGGAGACAAUGGAGACAUCUUCACAGAUCCAGUGUCAGCAUCUGGAGUGUGUGUUUACCCUGCAGCCUGCAGAGUUAUAUACAGCUAUCAGGCUAGCCAAUCAGAUGAGCUGUCAAUCAAGGAAGGGGAGGAACUCCAAGUGAUUGAAGAUGGAGAUAUGGAGGACUGGCUGAAGGUGUGUAACUCGUGCGGUCAGGUGGGAUAUGUUCCUGAACGGUAUGUGCAGUUCCUGUGUCUACCAGCAGAGGACAGCACUCCGCUGGACAGUUCAUACAGCUCCAACUUAUCCACAGGGAAUAAAGAGAUGCCGAGGAGCAGAGGUGUAGCCAGGGCUCUGUACUCCUACCAGGCUCAGAGCGCAGAGGAGCUUUCCUUCCCAGAGGGGGCACUAAUCCACCUGAUACGCCGUCCACGUGGAGAGCCUGAGGGUGGCCUUUUUCAGGUGGAUGAUGGUUUUUGGGAGGGAGAGCUGAAUGGAUGUGUCGGUGUCUUCCCCUCACUGGUGGUAGAGCUCAUUCGUGAUGAAGGGGAAGAGAAGGAAGAAAUUGAAGAGGAUGCGACUCUUCCAACUCCAACCAUGCCCCCUUUCUCACCCCCCUUCCCCACCCCCUCAGCUCCUAGCUGUAAUUCAGAACUGAGUGCUACUCCCCCUAUCAGUGUGGAUGACAAACAGCAGGCUGCUCCCAUGGAAGGAUCAAAGCUGGCAGGAAAUCAAUUAGAAGCCGGAACCAGCAGCCACAGCUCUCCUGAACUCUCUAGCAAUCGUCCAAGACCAUUGAGGGUUGUGUCAGGUAGGGCAUGUUUAGGGGGCAGCAAGAGACAAGGAAAGGCAGGAGUUUGGAGUGAGAGUAGGAACUUUGAUUACGGGGACUAUGACUGGUGAAGAGAGAAAGCAGGAGACCAGGUGUGAGGUGAGCAAGGCCAGGACCAUUGGAACUGGUCCACCAGGUGUAGAUAGGAAGAUAAAUGGAGUAAGGAUAAUGCUGAAGGAACAGCAUUGUGGAAGUGAAGAGUGUCAGACAGGGCUGAUGUUGAAUGCUGUCAGUGUGUAUGCCACAAAGGUUGGAUGUGAGAAGAGAGAAAUUCUGGAGUAAGUUGGAUAAAGUGGUAAAGAAGGUACCGGGAAGGUGGGGGGGGGGGGGGGGUAGAUUUUAAUGGACAUGAAGAGGUGUCAGGUAGGUAUGGGGUUAAGGAGAGAAAUACAGAAGGACAGAUAGUAGUGGAUUUUGUGAAAAGGAUGGUGAUGGCUGUAGUGAACAUGUACUUCCAGAAGAGGGAGGAUCAUAGGGUCACGUAUAGGAGUGGAAGAAGGUGACCACAGGUGCACUCUAUCUUAUGGAGAACAUGCAGUCUCAAAGAUAAAGGAGGGAAGCUUGAAGAGGGAAGAGUGUUGCACAAAGAUCAGGGAGGAGCUGAGACAGGCUGAGUUACCAGAAGACUGAGAAAGUACAGCUGAGGGAAACUUCCAAGAAGGUGUUGGUGUAUCCUCUGGACAGAGGAUACACCGAGAGAACAACGAGACUUGGCAGUGAAAUGAGGAAGUACAGGAAAGUAUUCAAAGUAAGAGAUUAGCAAAAAGUGGGAUAGGGAAGAUGAAGAAAGACAAAACAGUAGUCAUGGGAGGCUAGGAAUACAGCAGAGAGAGAGACAAGGCAAAGGAGACAGCUUAUAGUGAGUUGUAUGUGAGGCUGGACACUAAGGAAGGAGGAAAGGAGAUGAGCUGGAAAGGAUGGUUGUUAGGGUGGUUAAGGAUAGAUGGAAAUGUAAUAACGAGUAAAGAGAAGAUGGAAGGAGUACUUCGAGGAGCUGAUGAAUGAAGAAACAGAGAGUGAGGACGACAGAUGGGAUGGAGAAGUCCUGGUACUGGUUUUCAACAAGGGUGCAGAGCUGCAGCAACCACAGAAGGAUAAAGUUGAUGAGCCAUGCCAUGAAGGUAUGGGGACGAGUUGUUGAGGCUAGGCUAAGAAGAGAGGUGACGAUCAGCGAGCAGCAGUGUGGUGAGAGAUGUGGUGAUGUUGAUGGAGAAGUAUAGAGUAGGUCAGACAGAGUGUGUCUUUAUGGAGCUAGAGAAAGCAUAUGAUAGGGUACCAAGAGAGGAACUGUGGUACUGAAUGAGGAAGUCAGGAGCUGCAGAGAAGUAUGUGAGGGUGGUGCAGGAUAUGUAUGAGGACACCGAGACAGUGAAGAGGUGUGUGGUAGGAGUGACAGAUGGAUCCAAGGUGGGGGUGGGAUUACAUCAGGGAUCGUCUCUGAGCCCCUUUUUGUUUGCCAUGGUGAGAACAGGUUGAUGAGGUCAGGCAGGAGUCUCCGUGCACUGGGAUGUGAUCAGUAGUGAGAGUAGGGAGUAGGUGGAAGAGAGCCUGGAGAGGUACAGGUAUACAGGUAUGCUCUGGAGAGAACAGGAAUGAACAUCAGUAGAAGACGUGUGAAUGAGAGGGAGGCAGGCGGAAAGGUGAACAUGCGAGGAGCAGAGAAAGCCAGGCAAGACAAAAAGAGGAAGACCACAGAAGAUUCAUAGAUGUAGUGAAGGAGGCCAUGCAGAGGAUAGGUGUCGAGCACCCCCCCCUCCUCCAACACAGAAGUCUUCAACUCAGACUUGAGGCAGACUGGAGUCACAAGGGUCUUGUUGUAGCCAAAGCAUUACUGAUUUGCGCUAUUUUGCCUGUUGGUUUCCUUGGUCAUGUGGGGCAUCACGCAAGUACAGUAUUUGCUAAUAGAAAUGUGUGUAUUACCCCCCCCUCUUCAUAUUAUUACAGUCAGUAGGUUUGUAGCUUCAGCAGGUUAUCAAGAAAGCAUUGCAGCUUAGAGCCAAAGCAGUUUUUGUUUUGUCAAAUAUUGUGAAAACACCAUUAGAAGGAAUAUUUUUUUAAAAAACAGCAAAAUGCAAAUUUUAUUUAACCAACUAAUAAUAAUAAUAAUCUUAUCUUAUUUACAUAUUUACAGGAGCUACUGCAAAUCAUGUAAAAAUGAGGUGUAAUACCACUGGUAAAAAUUAAAGUUGGUGGCAAAAGUACAGACAUUCUUAAGUAGAAGUACAGAUACUUGGGUUAAGUACUGAUUCAACUUCUUUACCAAAGUAAAAGUGAAAAAGUACAGGCUCUGAAAUGUGAAAGUAUGGAGAUACUCUUUGGAAGGCAUUUCUACCAGAUAUUUCUGUGCAAAACUUACUGAACCUUGUGCUAUAUUAAUACAGUAAUAUUAAUACCUGGGAAAACAAACUCUUUUUUUUCCAGUAGAUUUUCUUUGUGUACCAGCUGUGAUCAGCUGACCUGUGCUUUUUGUGGUUUUACUCAAAUGAAUUCAAGAAGAUGGAAGCAGAUGUUUGACAAGUUAUCUGAUUUCCACCAUUCACUGUUUAUACUGUCUUUAUACUGACUGCAUACAGCUGGUAAAAAUGUUGAAUUCAGAGAAUGAAUUUAAGCAUCAUCAACUUAAAUUCAAAUUUAUCUCUGCUGCACUUGAUGUAACCCAUGAACACCACAGCCGCUGUGCACCAGCCCAGCACAGAGCUUUACAAGCAAACCUGUUCAUCCUGCACUAACCUGCAGAGCAUUUGAAUAACACAAAGUUAGUGUACGUCAGUUUGUUUUGCAGGAUGUUUCACAAUAUAAAAAAAAAAACACAACUUCACAUCACAUGAGGAUCCAAGAAAAUUCUACUCAAGUACAGUAAUGAAGUAUCUGAUGACAAAUGCUCACAAACCUCAAUGACCUGAAGCAGCUUUGUAGAGCAGAGUGGGCCAAAACUUCUCCACCACACAGAGAAACAGUUACAGUUGUUGCUGCUAAAGGUGGUUCUACAAGCUACUGAAUCAUGAGGCCUACUUAUACUUAUAAAAAAAGCUUUUCACAGGCCUGCAGCCCUGUGAAAAGGGGCAGGUUUUGCAGGUUUUGCAACUGCUGAGGCAGUUGCAAAACCUGCAAAUUCUAUUCUUUAUGCUGAUAAUAUAAUUCUAUUCUUUAUGCUGAUAAUAUAAUUCUAUUCUUUAUGCUGAUAAUAUAAUAAUAAUAUGAGGCUUGUGUCAUAAAAUAAACUAUUUGCUUCUGGAUUUUUGAAGUACCCU